CUAGCGACUUCAGAGUUUGAUCCUGGCUCAGGAUGAACGCUAGCGGCAGGCUUAACACAUGCAAGUCGAGGGGCAGCAUGACACGGAGAUUCGUCGAAGUGUUGAUGGCGACCGGCGCAAGGGUGCGUAACGCGUGAGCAACUUGCCCGUUUCUGGGGAAUAACCGGUGGAAACGCCGACUAAUACCCCAUAGUAUAACGAAGAGGCAUCUUUUUGUUAUUAAAGAAUUUCGGAAACGGAUAGGCUCGCGUGACAUUAGCUAGAUGGCGGGGUAACGGCCCACCAUGGCUACGAUGUCUAGGGGUUCUGAGAGGAAGGUCCCCCACACUGGAACUGAGACACGGUCCAG
rnacentral:rRNA from 1 species